AGAGUAUUGUACCACAAUCCCAGUUGUUUGCAAUAAAUGGCUUGUCUUGAUUUUCCAGAUUAUAGCUAGAAGAUUGCCUCAAACGAUGAAUUGUAGAAUGGAGCAGGAUGUCUGUGUGUCUGCGUCUUCACCCGGGUUUUUCAGGCCACUGUGUCUGUGAACUUAGCUCUAUGAAAGCAAGAAGCCUAUGAGAAUUCCGCCAGGGGCAAGCCUGGCCUUGGCGCUUCACUGUCUUAGCGUGUGUCUGGCCCUCCCAUUCCUGGCCAAGGCCCACAGCCACCACAGAUGACCUGCUGAUGCCUCUGCUGAAAUCCGUGGCCACUGGCCAACAGCUUGACAAGAGUGUCAGCUCCCUCCCGAGACGAAAUCAGAGGAAAACGCCUCUAGUUUCUAAGAAGCACACAGGGAGCCACUUCUUUACCGCUAGCUCCUGCAGGAUCUGUGGGAUCCUGCAGGUGCUGGUUUGCCUCCUGAGCCCUGUCCUAAGGACACUCUGCACAUCGCCUCCUGAAUGCUCUGUUGCACUAAAUGCACCAACUCUGGAGGUCCACAAUGGUAUUGCACCAUGAGAGAAGAAUAUCGGAGCAAAGCUGGGAAAUGGACACACCAGGGGGAGCGAAUGUAAUGUUACAAUCCGAGAAAAUUAGAAAGGAGAAGAAAAAGCAAAUCCCAAUCCUAAACCAUCUUGAGAACAUUUGCUAGUUUAUUCCUUUACCCCAUGGCAACAGUUACAUAAAGUGAUUAUGUCCUUGCUUUAAAAAAGUGCUAUUCCUCUUCUUUCAAAAUUAUAUUUAAACUUCAAUAUUUACCUUAAUAGUUCACUUACAGAUGGCAGAAGCAGAACGGUCACACAUCCCUGCAACACAAUUUAAAAAACAAAAGAAAAAUAAAUUUCUUGCAGAAGUAAAAACACAACAUAUUCCAUUUAUUUCCCACACACUAAAAUCUUGUCCUCUCUCAGUAGAAACAACAAGCAAUAUUUUUCUGUGUAAAAGGGAGUGGAGAGUUUUCCAGUCUUCUCUGUUUCUCCCCAGACAGAUGGGCUUUCACAUUCAAGAGACACUGGAGCUGCCAUAACCUUGAGUGGACAUGAGCUUGGCCAGAUUGCACUGUCCAAAUGCCAGGACCCAGGGCCCCGGGGAGGUCUCUGGUGCAUGCGGCAGUGCUCUUGGAGGAUCUUGAUCACUCCAGCGCAUUCCUUGCAGCAAUCUGCACUUGGAACAGCGUUUGAUAUGGAAGGAAACACUAGUAUAAUAUCAAGUUGUGUAUAAUUGCAAAACUUGCUGUCUCGGAUGUGAAAUAAAUUCGGCUAAUUUGUUGGUA
rnacentral:lncRNA from 1 species